rnacentral:rRNA from 1 species
CGUAGGGCAAGCGUUGUCCGGAAUUAUUGGGCGUAAAGCGCGCGCAGGCGGUUUCUUAAGUCUGAUGUGAAAGCCCACGGCUCAACCGUGGAGGGUCAUUGGAAACUGGGGAACUUGAGGACAGAAGAGGAGAGUGGAAUUCCACGUGUAGCGGUGAAAUGCGUAGAUAUGUGGAGGAACACCAGUGGCGAAGGCGACUCUCUGGUCUGUUUCUGACGCUGAGGUGCGAAAGCGUGGGUAGCAAACAGGAUU